GAGUAAAUAGCUCAGUGGUAGGGCCUGUGCUUAGCAUGCACAAGGUGCUGGGUUCAAUCCCCAGUACCUUCA
rnacentral:tRNA from 1 species